rnacentral:rRNA from 1 species
AUGAACGCUAGCUACAGGCUUUAACACAUGCAAGUCGGAGGGGCAGCAUGGUCUUAGCUUGCUAAGGCCGAUGGCGACCGGCGCACGGGUGAGUAACACGUAUCCAACCUGCCGUCUACUCUUGGACAGCCUUCUGAAAGGAAGAUUAAUACAAGAUGGCAUCAUGAGUCCGCAUGUUCACAUGAUUAAAGGUAUUCCGGUAGACGAUGGGGAUGCGUUCCAUUAGAUAGUAGGCGGGGUAACGGCCCACCUAGUCUUCGAUGGAUAGGGGUUCUGAGAGGAAGGUCCCCCACAUUGGAACUGAGACACGGUCCAAACUCCUACGGGAGGCAGCAGUGAGGAAUAUUGGUCAAUGGGCGAGAGCCUGAACCAGCCAAGUAGCGUGAAGGAUGACUGCCCUAUGGGUUGUAAACUUCUUUUAUAAAGGAAUAAAGUCGGGUAUGGAUACCCGUUUGCAUGUACUUUAUGAAUAAGGAUCGGCUAACUCCGUG